AUGAGUAUUGAUUCAGGUGCAAAUGUUAUGAUCCUGUGCUUUGAUUCAUCGAGGUACUGGUUUCCGUCACCUGUGGAAUGGGAAACUGAAGCGAUGCAAGCUGAGUUGAACAACUUUGGUCAAGAAUUUAACUUGAAUUCUCUGAACAAAAGAUUAGAAUCAUGGAGAAGGAAGAUGAAGAAGUGUGAGGCAUGCGUAGUGGGCUAG